rnacentral:rRNA from 1 species
GCGCAAGCCUGAUGCAGCGACGCCGCGUGAGGGAUGACGGCCUUCGGGUUGUAAACCUCUGUUAGCAUCGAAGAAGCGAAAGUGACGGUAGGUGCAGAGAAAGCGCCGGCUAACUACGUGCCAGCAGCCGCGGUAAUACGUAGGGCGCGAGCGUUGUCCGGAAUUAUUGGGCGUAAAGAGCUUGUAGGCGGUUGGUCGCGUCUGCUGUGAAAGGCUGGGGCUUAACCCUGGUUUUGCAGUGGGUACGGGCUAACUAGAGUGCAGUAGGGGAGACUGGAAUUCCUGGUGUAGCGGUGGAAUGCGCAGAUAUCAGGAGGAACACCGAUGGCGAAGGCAGGUCUCUGGGCUGUAACUGACGCUGAGAAGCGAAAGCAUGGGGAGCGAACAGGAUUAGAUACCCUGGUAGUCCAUGCCGUAAACGUUGGGCACUAGGUGUGGGGGACAUUCCACGUUUUCCGCGCCGUAGCUAACGCAUUAAGUGCCCCGCCUGGGGAGUACGGCCGCAAGGCUAAAACUCAAAGAAAUUGACGGGGGCCCGCACAAGCGGCGGAGCAUGCGGAUUAAUUCGAUGC